AAUCUUCACUGUUGGGCAGGAAUGCCCUUUGAUGGAAGUGCCCGGACCAAACUCCAAGAAAGCUAAUAAUCAAGAGACUUCCUACAGGUUUUUAUAUAUCGAUUAUUUUACAAGAGCAAAGACAAGAUCAAGCGCAUUAAGAUGGAGGACAUUAAGAAAGCCUUUCCAACACAUUCUGAAAGUAGCAUCAGAAAAAGGUUAAAACUAUGUGCAGACUUCAAGAGAACAGGAAUGGAUUCCAAUUGGUGGGUUUUGACUUCCGUCUUCCAACUGAGGAAGAGAUGAGAUCAGUGGUGACCCCAGAGCAGUGCUGUGCUUAUUAUUCUUAGAGGUUAAAGGAUGCUGGAUACGGUGAGAAAUAAUUCUUUGCUCCAGAAGACGAUAAUGAAGACAAUAAUGCAAAGAUUGAUGAUGAGGU